AAGAAAGAAAAGAAAGAAAAGAAAGAAAAGAAAAGAAAGAAAAGAAAGAAAAUAAAUAAAUCUCACUUGCAAGUGCUCCAGGCGAGUGUAGAGCAGGGUUCUUCUGUGGGAGUUGGAGGAAGCACCAAGAUUUGGUGUUAGGGCCCCUGCCCAGCAGAUGGUGCCAGAGUGAGAGCACAGUUCCUGCCCCACCCAACCAUGUCCUCUCCACAGCUCCAUGGCUGCAUCGACAGGCUCAGAUUCAGAGUGGAAAGUGAUUGGUGGAGGCCCAAUACGUUCAGAUAUUUUCCUUUGGGUACAUGGUUCAGUGGACACCGUGGCCCAGUGUGCCUCAACUCAGAGAAGGACUAAGUUUCUUUCACCCCAUCUCGGGUUCAAUCUCUGGACAAUCAUGUGGCCCAAUGUCUAGAGAGUUUGUCAGGCUCCCUGGGGCCUGAGUGCCCAUUGCUUGUUUGAAGUACAACACUGGACCCAGAAAUCCCAGAAAUUCCAAAACAUGAAGUGUUUUGGAAUCAGGAUGCUGUGAAAUUUGGUUUCUAGAAACUGAGGCCUUUUGUUAUGAAUGCAGCAUAUCAAUGCAUUUGUAUACUAGGGGCAGGUCUUAGCCUGUCCCUAUGCCCUUUCACUCUAGGGAUCUCUACAUCCUCCUCUUUCCCACUCCACCUGAGCCACCUACGCCUCUUUGGGGGACCCUUGUGCCAAGAAACCUACCUUAAUCCAGAUCAAGUGAAUGAAGCCUGGGAUUCUGGAUCUCAAGAGAUCUCCACAACCCCCUCCUUCCCUCCCAUGUUAGCCUCUACUGAAUCCAGUGACAAGGAACCCACCCAAAUCCAGGUCUCCUCAAACUUCUUCCCUCACAUCCGAGUCUCUUCCUCCCCUUGGAGUCUCCUGGUGCAUGGAACUGACCUGAAACUGGGGUUCCCCCAAAGCCUCUGUCUUCCUUCUGUAGCUGAGCUGCUUCAGCCUCUGUGGGACACCCAUUUGAAGGAACCUGUCUAAAUCCAUGUAAGAGAUCUAUUUUUUCCCUCCCACCUGAGACUCUUCCUCCUCUGCCAGACACCUGUUCCAAGGAAGCUCCUGCAACAAGGUAAGAUGAAUCAAGCCUGGGUGGCCCUUGGCUUCUAUCUGGAUCCCAGGGCUUAAGGGUGCUGAUUGAUUCAGAGCUGGCUGAAGUGAUUACAGAGCUGGGUCUUUGAUUUCAGGGUGUGGGCUUGUGUCGUGAAGGUUGAGUAUCCAGGGUGACAGUGAAGAAUCCUACUCCCACCGCAAGAGUGGAUUUCAGUGUGCCUGAGAGGAAGAGGAGUAAGACAUCUUGUUGGCCUGUGCCACAGAGAUGCCCACAACCUUCAUAUUUACACUGCCCCUGAGCCACUUCCACCUCUGCAUGACACCCAUUUGAAGGAAGCUCUCUCCAUCCAUGUAAGGUGAAUCACGGCUGGGUUGUUUAGUGUUCCAAGAGAUCUCCUCAAGCUUUUCCUUCCCUCCCACCUGAUCCUCUCCCUCCUUGGCCAGACACCUGCUGCAGGGAGGUUACCUAAAACCAGGGUGUGGGGUGAGUUCUGGCUCUGAGAUUGUCAUACCCCAGCCCAUAGUGUACAUCUGUGCACUGAAAGGGAGAAGAGGAAGGAAAUCACACUGGCAGUGCCCCCGGACACUGCAGAGAAGACUUCUGCUGUUGGAGGCUGUCAGGGUUCAGAGUUGCUAUUAGAGCAGCACAUUCUGGUCAAAGGGCUCUAGAGAACCCUGGAGACCCUCCUCUCCUUCAGGCUGAAAUACAUGGUUGCCCAUUGUAUGAUGAGACCCCAUGGAAGUGCUUGAGGCUGAGAUGGGGUUACAGGGCGCCUCUUAUCAUCUGGCCAAUUACUUUCACCUCAGGAUAUUGGCAUAAUUCUGCUCUCACAUCUUUGGUUCAAAUUCAGUGUGUUUCUCUGAUAAAUGACCAGAAAUUUGACAGACUCUCUGAGGGGACAAGCAAAUACCUGGUUUGAAUCUCGAAUGUUCAGGCUUCUGAAACCAGGCUGACAUCACACCCUCUCCUCUUGUGUGUUCAGUUUGCUGAGAGGAAGAGGAAGAGGACAGUCACACCAGUCUGUGCCCAAGACCAGUGCUUAAAAUGUCAAUGUCCAAUCUUUAACACUGUUGUUUCUGGAUGCAAAGGUCUGCCUCUGGAGAAACAGGGCCAGCUGACCCAGGGAGCGUGUCACACUCUAGCCCUGGGGCCCCGAUCUUGCUGACAUGCCCACCAGAUGCUGAGGGCACAGUUGUGUCCUUUCCCUGAGGUGAGUCCAUUUGGCCAGAGCUGUCGAGGCUCCCUGUUUCCAGCCCCAAACCUAUGAGCAUGUUCUGAGUGUCCCACAGUCCUUCAACUGCAGCUCUGAGCCUGGAGUCUCAGGCAGGCAUCUGCACAGGGGCUCUGCCUGAGCUGGGGUUCAGCUUGGUGACCUUCAGUCUAACACCAUCUCUCAGCCCUUCCACCUGUUUCUCAGCCACCCUAGAAGCUACCUGGGCCUUGGGCCUGGGCAGCUUGAUUUCACACUGACCUUGGGCCUGGGCUGCUCGAUUUCAUUUCUCCUCAGCUGUUGAGCCACACGAAUAUCUAGAUACUGGAGCAUUUCCCUCUCACAGCCUCCCUGAGUGCUCACCCCAACUUACCCCACCCCAACACAUAAACCUCUGUAUCCCCACCAUUGGGUACCAAGAGCCUUCUUUAAAUAAGUCCCAGCUGCCUUCACUCUCAAGAUCUUCUCUUAGUUGUGCUCCUUGAAACAACGAUUGCAGACAGGAUAUAGAGAUUCAGAUGGAAGGGGAAGAAAGAAUUCAGGGAGAACUCCUGUACAAUAAAGCACAGGGAUUCCUGUCUGCCCCUCAAAAUAGCACCACUUUCACAAGCUCCAUUCAUGACCACCAGCCCCUUUGGACACGUGAUGCCUUUACAGAGGCUGCAGGCUUGGUAAUUGCAAGGACAAGAUUCAAACAGAUAUUGUGGGUCCAGUGUCCUUGCCCCUGGAGAAACAGAAACAAACCAACCCCAGAGAACACGUCCACCUCUCUGGCGCCUGGGCAGCCAGAGCCGGAUGGACCUACCCAUCAGAUGCAGAAAACACACAUCUUUCUUCAACCUGAUGUGAGUCUAUUUGUGCCAAAGAGUCAGUGUUGCCCUGUGAGCCAUCUUAACACAUCCUGGGGCUCCCACUAACCCCUCUUGGCACCACCUCAUCGCCUGGAGGUGAAGCCAGGGGGCUUCAGAUGGGCUUUGUCUGUGCUCUGGCCCCUUCUGGAGCCUGUCUCCUCUACCACUGACUCUCAGCCUUUCCUCCUGUUUCCCUCAGCAGCCCCCCAGGGCUCUCCUGGCCUUGGGCAGCUGCCAGCCUGAUUGAAUUCCUCCUCACCUUCUAAGCCAAGUGAAGUGCCCAGAGAGAGGGGCAAUUCUCUCAAAGACUCCCAGCACACACACCCCCACCCCACCUUAAUGCAUUAAGAUCCUUUUAAUUACCCUACUUUAAUUCCCGAGAACCACCUUUAAGUCUGCUCCCUGAAACAGGGCUUGGGGACAGGAAAACGAGGCCCCAAAGGAAAGAGAGAGGGAAUUUGGGGGAGGGUCUUGAAGCACAAAGCCUAGCGAUUUGCACAGUUGCCCAGAGGAGCCAGCACCACUGUUAGGCGCUCCAUUCCUGACCAUCAGCCCCUUUGCCGCAUGACAGUGACCUGGGUGGGGGGCGGGGCUUGGCAGUUGCGAGGCCAAGAUUCAAGAGAAUUUCCUGUCCAGGGUCCUGCCUCUGAGAAACCAAAAGCAAUCCAUCCCCAGAGAACCUGUCAAACUCUCUGGCCCCUGGGCCACCCAGGCAGGCUGGAAAUGCCCAUCAGAUGCUGAAGACACAGCCAUGACCCCUCCCUGAGGUGAGGCCAUUUGGGACAGAGAAUUAGAGGCACCCCAGCCACCCCCAAAUCGAUGAGCCUGUGCUGAGUGCACCCACAUUCCUUCUUCCACUUGGGCUCUGAGCCUGAAUGUGCUGCCAGGCAGCGGCAGAGAGUCUCCGCCAGGGCUCUGUGCGGCCUGGUGACCAUCUGCUCUGACCCCAUCUCUCAGCCCUUCCUCCUGGUUCCCUCAGCAGCCCCUGCAGCUACCCUCUCCUUGGGCCCUGGCCGCUUGAUUUCACUGCUCCUCAGCCACCCAGCACAGUGAAGUACCACAGACACUGUGUCCUUCUCAGUCUCCCACAUGCAGCCUACCCGAUCCCCGGACAUUCAAAACCCUCUGCCUCCCCACCCACUGCUUCUUGAGUCUUUAAAUAAAUCUGCUUUCAUUCGAAAGACCUGCCUUCAAGUCGGCUCCUUGCGAUACAGAGGUAGAGGCCAGGAAAAAAAAAAAAAAA